AUUGAACGCUGGCGGCAGGCCUAACACAUGCAAGUCGAGCGGAUGAGUGGAGCUUGCUCCAUGAUUCAGCGGCGGACGGGUGAGUAAUGCCUAGGAAUCUGCCUGGUAGUGGGGGACAACGUUUCGAAAGGAACGCUAAUACCGCAUACGUCCUACGGGAGAAAGUGGGGGAUCUUCGGACCUCACGCUAUCAGAUGAGCCUAGGUCGGAUUAGCUAGUUGGUGAGGUAAAGGCUCACCAAGGCGACGAUCCGUAACUGGUCUGAGAGGAUGAUCAGUCACACUGGAGCGGAGACACGGUCCAGACUCCUACGGGAGGCAGCAGUGGGGAAUAUUGGACAAUGGGCGAAAGCCUGAUCCAGCCAUGCCGCGUGUGUGAAGAAGGUCUUCGGAUUGUAAAGCACUUUAAGUUGGGAGGAAGGGCAGUAAGUUAAUACCUUGCUGUUUUGACGUUACCAACAGAAUAAGCACCGGCUAACUUCGUGCCAGCCGCCGCCGUAAUAC
rnacentral:rRNA from 1 species